rnacentral:rRNA from 1 species
ACAACAGGCCAUUGCCCCACGUAACGGCGAGUGAAGCGGCAACAGCUCAAAUUUGAAAUCUGGCCUCGGCCAGGUUGUAAUUUGCAGAGGAUGUUUCUGGCGCGGUGCCUUCUGAGUUCCCUGGAACGGGACGCCAUAGAGGGUGAGAGCCCCGUACGGUUGGACGCCUAGCCUGUGUGAAACUCCUUCGACGAGUCGAGUAGUUUGGGAAUGCUGCUCAAAAUGGGAGGUAUAUCUCUUCUAAAGCUAAAUACCGGCCAGAGACCGAUAGCGCACAAGUAGAGUGAUCGAAAGAUGAAAAGCACCUUGAAAAGGGGGUUAAACAGCACGUGAAAUUGUUGAAAGGGAAGCGCCCAUGACCAGACUUGUGCCCGGCGGAUCACCCAGCGUUCUCGCUGGGGCACUCCGCCGGGUCCAGGCCAGCAUCGGUUUUCGCCGGGGGAUAAAGGCUCUGGGAACGUAGCUCCUCCGGGAGUGUUAUAGCCCUCUGCGUAAUACCCUGGCGGGGACCGAGGUACGCGCUCCGCAAGGAUGCUGGCGUAAUGGUCAUCAGCGACCCGUCUUGAAACACGGAUCAAGGAGUCGUCCAUUAGAGCGAGCGUUUGGGUGUCAAACCCGCACGCGUAAUGAAAGUGAACGUAGGUGAGAGCUUCGGCGCAUCAUCGACCGAUCCUGAUGUCCUCGGAUGGAUUUGAGUAUGAGUUUUACUGGACGGACCCGAAAGAUGGUGAACUAUGCCUGUAUAGGGUGAAGCCAGAGGAAACUCUGGUGGAGGCUCGCAGCGGUUCUGACGUGCAAAUCGAUCGUCAAAUAUGGGCAUGGGGGCGAAAGACUAAUCGAACCAUCUAGUAGCUGGUUACCGCCGAAGUUUCCCUCAGGAUAGCAGUGUUGAUCUUCAGUUUUAUGAGGUAAAGCGAAUGAUUAGGGACUCGGGGGCGCUAUUUAGCCUUCAUCCAUUCUCAAACUUUAAAUAUGUAAGAAGCCCUUGUUACUUAGUUGAACGUGGGCAUUCGAAUGUACCAACACUAGUGGGCCAUUUUUGGUAAGCAGAACUGGCGAUGCGGGAUGAACCGAACGCGGGGUUAAGGUGCCGGAGUGGACGCUCAUCAGACACCACAAAAGGCGUUAGUACAUCUUGACAGCAGGACGGUGGCCAUGGAAGUCGGAAUCCGCUAAGGACUGUGUAACAACUCACCUGCCGAAUGUACUAGCCCUGAAAAUGGAUGGCGGCUCAAGCGUCCCACCCAUACCCCGCCCUUCAGGGUAGAAUCGAUGCCCUGAGGAGUAGGCGGCCGUGGAGGUCAUGU